rnacentral:rRNA from 1 species
UACGUAGGGGGCAAGCGUUGUCCGGAUUUAUUGGGCGUAAAGAGCGUGUAGGCGGCUAGAUAGGUCCGUUGUGAAAACUCGAGGCUCAACCUCGAGACGUCGAUGGAAACCAUCUGGCUAGAGUCCGGAAGAGGAGAGUGGAAUUCCUGGUGUAGCGGUGAAAUGCGUAGAUAUCUGAAGGAACACCAGUGGCGAAAGCGGCUUCCUGGUCCAGCACCGACGUUCAGGCACGAAAGCGUGGGGAGCAAACAGG